AACGAACGCUGGCGGCAGGCCUAACACAUGCAAGUCGAACGCCCCGCAAGGGGAGUGGCAGACGGGUGAGUAACGCGUGGGAACGUGCCUUUCGGUUCGGAAUAGGCCGGGGAAACCCGGGUUAAUACCGGAUACGUCCUUCGGGAGAAAGAUUUAUCGCCGAGAGAUCGGCCCGCGUCUGAUUAGCUAGUUGGCGGGGUAAUGGCCCACCAAGGCGACGAUCAGUAGCUGGUCUGAGAGGAUGAUCAGCCACACUGGGACUGAGACACGGCCCAGACUCCUACGGGAGGCAGCAGUGGGGAAUAUUGGACAAUGGGCGCAAGCCUGAUCCAGCCAUGCCGCGUGAGUGAUGAAGGCCCUAGGGUUGUAAAGCUCUUUCGGCGGGGACGAUAAUGACGGUACCCGCAGAAGAAGCCCCGGCUAACUUCGUGCCAGCCGCCGCCGUAA
rnacentral:rRNA from 1 species